UCAGGGGCUAAUAAUUGUUCUAGAGCUAAUACACUAAAUACAAAAACAUAAAAUUUUUGAAAAAGACAGGAAUAGAUAUGUAUUACAUAGACUUUGACUUUAUAAAAGUUGGGCUCUAUUUACAAAAGUAGGAGAGCAAUAAUGCCUUAAAUAUUUACACAAAGACUUUAAAAUCAACUACAACUUUGUAUGUAAGGUUUACAUUAGACCAGUGAGUUUUGACUUUGCUCCUCAGUGCUGCCAGUUCUUCAUGUUUCAGAUGAGUCUCUGCUCCAGCACACCUGAUUCAAAUGAUUUAAUCAACUCCUCAUACUAUAAUUAAAUGCUGCAGAAGCCCAUUAACCACUGGUUAGUUUCAGUCAGGUGUGUGUCAGCAGGGAAACACCUAAACACACAGCACAGUCGGCUCUGAGGGCCUGAGAGAAACACUGAAUUAGACUUAAGACAAAUUAAUGGAUCACACUUUUUUUUUUUCCAGAAAGUGCCUCUUUUCUCCACUUCAAAGAAAAUAGUUUUCACCCAGACAUCAUCUGUCUGCUUGGCUGCAAGCCACCGUUGAAGGAAUUUAGAAAAGGGCUGGUGUAUGCUUGAUUUACUUUUUUGCCAAAAACCAAGGACGACGUACUCCAUCCCUAAAUGGGCCUGCAGGGACUCCACUCUGUCCAGGAACCAGCUCACAGCGGCUGGAUUUCUGAUCAGAGUCCAAUCCAGACUCUGGCUGCAACAUCUGGCUGGAGGUGGCGUUGGACCCAAACGCAGACGUGAAAAUGGUCACCUCAUGUUCAUGCUUCCCCUGAGUGGCUGAGGGAAGACUGAGCCAGUAGUCCUCUGUGCCGUCAGUGAGGGAGGUGUGGAACUGCG